UACAAACUUUGAAAGCUUUCUCUUUUUGUA
rnacentral:piRNA from 1 species